AGGCUGCGCGCGCCCGCACCGCAUCGCCGCUUUGCCCCGCGACCGCGCGCGCCUCCUCGUCCUCCCCCGCGCCUUUGUUUCCGUCUCCUUCUCCUUUCCCUCCUCUUUUGUGUCGGGCCAGACUCAGCCCCAGAAACCAGCCACCCUGCCGCGUCCGACUGCCAGGGAUCCCUCACGCCGCGAGGAAGAGACACUAGAGAGACACUCAGCUGCAGUGAGAAUACACAGGCAUCUUCAAGUACCAGAGAUGUCUCCAAGAGCACCAGCAACCCCAGCUAUCUGGAUCUGAAGUGGAUAUGCUCAGAGACAUCCUGGCCCACCCCAAAGAAGAUGCUGCUGCACUCAGAAGACGCCAGAGCUAGCCACCACCCACACUGCAAGUCUGGAAGCUCUGCAAGGACCCAGCAAGGCAGCCUGCUCAGCGAAGGCUUUGUCUCCUGUGGCAGGAAGAGCAACAUUAAGAACAAGAACCCCGGGCUGGACUACCCCUGAGAUUUAAUGACCAGAGCUGAGACCCCCAAGACCACAAUGACUAUGGAGGGCUGUCAUUACCCUGCCUGACCCUCUAAUGCCUCUCAGUUCAAGGAGGCCACUGAGUGAAACUGAAGGCUGGUUUUCCUUGGAAGCCAGCGGCCCAUCCACCUGCUCCACUUCCCUGCCUCUUGCAGCCUCCGCUCAAACACUGUCGUGGCUUGGCAGCACUACAAGUAUUUCAGGGGCUGCCAAGCUGCUCUCCUGUUUCCUCUUCCUUGGGGCUGAUUGCAUCCCAUGAUGUGCCCAGGUUUUGAGAUGCUCCUCGUGAAUGAAAAUAGGACUGUCUGGUUCCUCCAUCCAUAGCAAGGGAGCCUAGACAGAAAUAACUUCUGUGCAUUUCUCCAGCUACAUUUAGGGAAAACUAGAAAAUACAGAAAUAUAUCAAGAAGAAAAAAAAUUUAAAAAUGACCCAAAAUCCCACCAACCAGAGACAGCUAUUAAUGAUUGUGGUAUAUUUAUUGAAUUUACUAAAGUCAUGCUAUACGCUAGGCACUGUGGAGGGACUGCAGAAAGACUUCAAGGACUGCACCGUCUUGUUAGAAAGAUGCCUAGACAACAUUUGAGAAACGCUGAUCAUGUCUGAUGACACAUAACUGCUAACAGUUACAUGGAAUUUUCUAUAUGCUAUAUACAAACAUACAAAUAUAUGUAUGUAUAUUUACUCAGCUCUCACAACAGCUACUACUGUUAUUAUGAAUCCUGUUUUAUAGUGAGAAAACUGAAACAUGGAGAGGUUAAGUAAUUUGCCCAAGAUCACAUAGCUACUAAGUGGUGGAACUGUGAUUAGAAUCCAGGCAUUCAGGCUCCAGAGUUCAUACUCUUCACAUACCACAUCUAUCUUGAAUAUAACAAUGUAGAGAAAAAGAAUUAUAGCAAGCAUAUGUCUAGGUAAGCAUUUUCCAGAAGUGACUGUUUUUUUGCAUUGGGUUUGUAAACUUUCAACAAUAAAGCAGGUUGGACUUUAUAUCAGUCAAAGCAGAAUAUUCUGAUGUCACCUUCCCCAAUGUUUAGGAUGUUAAUGAGAAUUGCUAAUCCAAGAGAAGAAAAUAAUCUCAUCUAA
ensembl:lncRNA LINC02981 long intergenic non-protein coding RNA 2981